GUGAUAUUUGUUGUAGGCUCUUUUCGUAUUUCUGUCUCUGCCUUUACUUUCAAAAUUGAAAGGCAUACCAUUUGCUGAACUUCCUUCAUAUUUUAAAAGCGGUGCCGGUUGUUUUCUAGGUAAACCAGGUUGUGAUGGCGCUCCCCUACUUCCACUGCUUUACAUAAUUACCAAUUUGGCAUUCAACAUAUCCCUCCUUAAUGCAGUAAAAACUUCUUCUGCAGUUGUAUCUUCUCUUCUAGUAAUGUUGUCAGUGCCCAUAUCUGUUUAUAUUCUUUCUCUACCAUUACCAUAUCUUCCCGAGGGAACAAGCUUGAGCCCAUUUUUUUUGCUUGGCUGUGGAAUUCUGAUCACUUGUUCUGGUAUA